rnacentral:rRNA from 1 species
UACGUAGGGUGCGAGCGUUAUCCGGAAUUAUUGGGCGUAAAGAGCUCGUAGGCGGUUUGUCGCGUCUGCUGUGAAAACUGGAGGCUCAACCUCCAGCCUGCAGUGGGUACGGGCAAACUAGAGUGCGGUAGGGGAGAUUGGAAUUCCUGGUGUAGCGGUGGAAUGCGCAGAUAUCAGGAGGAACACCGAUGGCGAAGGCAGAUCUCUGGGCCGUAACUGACGCUGAGGAGCGAAAGCAUGGGGAGCGAACAGG